UUCAUUUUAAUGCUUUUAUUCAUUUGGAACAUUUUCUAUAAUUUUUCUUUCACUUAAAACAUGUGGAGUAGGUAGUGUAGAUUGGUGGGGAAAAAAUCUAAUGUAAUCCCUUUUUAGAUAAAAUUUUAAGGCAGCAAAAUAUGAAAGGGUGUGUAUUCUUUCAUUAGCGACUGUACAUACAGACAUUUUUUAUUAAUCGAUUCAAUGACACAGACACCAUGGGCAUUUUCAGUAGUAAAUUGUAUUAUAAACUGUAAAGAUUAGUCAGAUCUCAGGUGUUCCUGUAAGAAUGUCAUCAGGCCCCAGAGGAACAGAACACUUACAGAGGAAAACAAUGGUAUGAUACACCUUGAUAUACAUCAGCCAGUUUAUUAGGUACAGCACCUAGUUCUCCAAAACGGAUUGCUCCAGACAGUGAACAACGUGGCCGUUGCUUGCUAUAUAAAGCAUGCAGAUAGGCAUUUAGUUACUGCUUGAUUGAACGUUAGAAUAGGCAAAACGAGACACCUAAGCAAUGAUCGUCAGUGCCAGGCACGCCGGAUACAGUAUCUCAGAAACAGCAGACCUCCUAGGCUUUUCACUUGCGACAGUGUCUAGGGGUUUACCGAGAAUGGUUUGGCAAACACAAAACAUUCAGUCAGCGGCAGUCCUGUGGGAAAAAACAGCUCAUUGAUGAGAGAGGUCGAAGGAGAAUGGCAAGAAACACGCAAGCGGACCACAAACAGACGAAUAACAGCGGUGUGCAGAACGGCAUCUCGGAACACAUAACUCGUUGAUCCCUCACGGAUAGGCUAUUGCAACAGAUGACCACACAGGGCUCCAGUGGGCACGCGAUCACCAACACUGAACAAUUGAGAAGUGUAAAAAAUAUUGCCUGGUCCGAAGAAUCCCAGUUCCUGUUGCGCCAUGCUGAUGGCAGAGUCAGGAUUUGGCAUAAACACCAUGAGUCCAUGGACCCAUCCUGCCUGGUGUCAACGGUACAGGCUGGUGGUGGUGGACCGACAUCCAAUCUGCAGCAACUGCGUGAUGCCAUUGCGUCAGCAUGGACCAACAUCCCUGUGGAACGUUUCUGACUUGUAGAAUCCAUGCCCGAAUAAUUCAGGCUGUUCUGGAGACAAAUGGGUGUCCGACCCAGUACUAGAUGGGUGUACCUAAUAAACUGUACAUACGCCUGGAAAUAAUACAUGUGGAUACCCUCACCAAGCCCUUAUUGGGUUAGGGGUUAGAUAGUGUCAUGAGGGAGGAGAAUAUGGCCCUUAAAAAGAAAACACGAUGUAAUACACCUAAAUACUCAACAAGCCUUAUUGUAAUAGACAAAUAAUAAUCUAACCUUAAUUAAUCAUCAAAUAGAAAUGGGAGUUCCUCCUUCACAACCAGAAUAAAAUGUACAGUCUUAAAUCACAACCAGAAUAAAACGUAUAGUCUUGACAAUCUGUCAAACAAAACUGCCACUCAACACAUACAGUAACCUAACCUUAACCCAGUACAGGGGGAGGGGUACUAUCCUAACCCAGUACAGGGGGCAGGGUACUAUCCUAACCCAGUACAGGGGGCAGGGUACUAUCCUAACCCAGUACAGGGGGGAGGGUACUAUCCUAACCCAGUACAGGGGAGGGUACUAUCCUAACCCAGUACAGGGGAGGGUACUAUCCUAACCCAGUACAGGGGAGGCACCAUCCUAACCCAGUACAGGGGGAGGGUACUAUCCUAACCCAGUACAGGGAG
ensembl:lncRNA